AAAGAAUUAAUUCACAUGUACAAAAGAUUUAAAGGCUUUAUUAGGAAGUAAAUAACUUGAACUACAUGAUUGAUAUUCCCAAACUAAAUUCUUUGUUUUAAAUUUCUACACAAGGUUGUAGCUUUAUAUGUAUUGUUAUGUGAAUUGCUUUACAAGACUUUGCCUUAAAGGGACUUAAUAUACAGUAUGCAUAUAACCUGUGCUAGAAGGCACCCCUAUUAGGAAAUCACACUUUUAUUUAUUUGACAGAUCUGAGUUUAUUGCUGUUUUAUUCCACCCAUUUGAACACAUAGUACCUUGGUGAUACUGAACAUCUAACCAGCCAACAAAUGUGGAGAAAUGCCCAAUAUUUCCAUAGGUUGAUUUAAGUAUUUGUUUUGAUCUGUAGGAUGCCUCCAUUUCCAUUUCUACUUAAUCAAAAUCAUUUACAAGUAGUCCUCAACUUAUCCCCGUUUGCUUAAUAAUAGCCUGAAUUAAUGUUGGCCUCCAAAAAAGUUACAAUAUAAAUUUGAAUUUAUUACCAUUGCCCCACUCCUAUGGUCACAUGGUCACAAUUUGGAUGCUUGGCAAUUAGGUUGCAUUUAUAAUUGGUCAUAAUGUCCUGUGGUCACAUGAUCACAAUGUGUGACCGUUUUUGGCCACUUUCUGGCAAAAACUGACAUUGGUUAAGCUGGAUUUGCAUUUAUAAUCAUGCGAUUUAACUUUCAACCAUCAUAAAAUGGUUGUAAAAUUGGGUCCAGUCACUUGACCACAAUGAAAAUUCUGGUCCCAAUAAUGGUGGCAACUCCAGGACUAAUUGUAGUUUGCUGUCUACCAUGUGCAAGUUUUAUAUGUUGCAAAAACAAAUGUUGCAACAGUCAGAGUUACCUUGAGAUCUUAUCUUGCCAAUAAAAGGAUGUUAGUAAAUGUUUAUGAUAAACAUAUUCAUGGUAAAAGUUACAACAGAAUAUGAUUUUGUGUUUCAAUGUUACCAUCUUCAUAAGGAUGGUGUUGUGACCCAGGUUCCUGGACUCAGACUCCUGGACUCGGAUGAUUCAGAAAGUGAGGGAGAAGACCUGGCAAGGCCUGCUUCUCCUGGGCCCUCUCCCUCCCUGGCACCCACCCAAAGGGAGGAGGAGGGGCCGGCAAGGCCUGAUUCUCCCGGGCCUUCUUCUGAUUUGGCAACGCCCCAAGAACAGUUUUGGCGUGAUGCAAGACUGCGCAGACGUGACCAGCGCGCGCAGCAGAGGAAGUGUUGGGACAAAGCCAAAGAAUGAUGAGUCAUGCAGUGACAUCUACAGAGGCUAUAAAAGGAGGUGGAACUUCCUGGCUUUUUGUCUUGGACAAAGCAGUGAAUUUGCACGGGCAAACUGUAUCAAUGGAGGGAAGAAUAUAUUCGAACCAAGUUGCCAAGACACCCUCUUAUAUUAAACCAUGAAAUAAUUGGGCAGAAUCAGUGAAGAUUUCUCUCCGUUUCCUCUUUUCAAAUUCCAGGGAUGACAUGAUCCAAAAGCUGAGGUAAGAUGACUUAACAGAUUAAACAAUGGCUUAAAAAGCAGGCUAACCAGAUUUUCUGAUAAUAUGAAUCAUCAUAGCUCUAGUAGUACCAUUUUAAAAAGUGGAUAUGCUAGCAAGUUUUCAGUUCAAGACAUGCUUACUCAAGAAGGGGAACAAUGGAACAAGUCUGGAACUGGAGAAAGAAAUUAGAGAUGCUUUUUUUUUAUCGUUUUCCACAUCUCAGUGCCUUCCAGUCAUUAGUUUUGUGAGGAGUGGAAAAGCUACCCAUAUUGCACAAAUAAAUGCAGAGGAAAUUCCCUGUUGCAGUGUUUCUGAUUUGACUUAAUUGCAACGCGGCAAGACUUUUACUCUUUUAUGGAAGAAACUGCUUCCAUAUUUCCACCUCUCACAAUACUAAACAACACAGUAUCAACAGUAGAAACCUUUAAAUUUCUAGGUUCUAUCAUAUCGCAAGAUCUAAAAUGGACAGCUAACAUCAAAAACAUCAUCAAAAAAGGACAACAAAGACUGUUCUUUCUGCGCCAACUCAGAAAGCUCAAACUGCCCAAGGAGCUGCUGAUUCAGUUCUACAGAGGAAUUAUUGAGUCUGUCAUUUGCACCUCUAUAACUGUCUGGUUCGGUUCUGCAACCCAACAAGAAAGAAACAGACUUCAGAGGAUAAUUAGAACUGCAGAAAAAAUAAUUGCUACCAACCUGCCUUCCAUUGAGGACCUGUAUAUUGCACGAAUCAAGAGAGCCAUGAAAAUAUUUACAGAUCCCUUACAUCCAGGACAUAAACUGUUUCAACUCCUACCCUCAAAACGACGCUAUAGAGCACUGCACACCAGAAUAACUAGACACAAGAACAGUUUUUUCCCGAAGGCCAUCACUCUGCUAAACAAAUAAUUCCCUCAACACUGUCAAACUAUUUACUAAAUCUACACUACUAUUAAUCUUCUCAUUGUUCCCAUCACCAAUCUCUUUCCACUUAUGACUGUAUGACUGUAACUUUGUUGCUGGAAAUCCUGAUGAUUUAUAUUGAUAUAUUGACCAUCAUUUGUGUUGUAAAUGUUGUACCUUGAUGAACGUAUCUUUUCUUUUAUGUACUGAGAGCAUAUGCACCAAGACAAAUUCCUUGUGUGUCCAAUCACACUUGGCCAAUAAAAAAUUCUAUUCUAUUCUAUUCUAUUCUAUUCUAUUCUAUUCUAUUCUAUUCAGUAUAUAGCAGGUUGUGUCUUAUUAAAAUUAGCAGAAAAUUUCAUUUUGCUUGGUCCCAUGGCUCUCAAUUCAGUAUUUUUCACUUACUCUCUACGAUGCAUUUCUACCAAUUACCUUUUCUUCUAGAUCAAGAAGCAUUUCAUACAUACACCAUCAAAAGCAUUGUAUCAGGAUUAUGAGAGGAGAAAGGCAAUAAUCGUAAUAUGCCAAUAUCUAUAUAUUACUAAUUUGGGCAAGUUGUGUCCCCAACUAACUGUGGAUGCAAACAGAAGUUCAGUUUGUUAGUCUGCAGAUCCUACAUUCCUGUGUAGGAUCUGCAGACUAAUAAACUGAACUUUUGUGCAUGUACCAUUAUCCUUACUCUGGGGCUGUUUCAGAAACUCGGGCAAUCCUAACUUCAAUCAUAUUCAUGCUAAAUAACUGACAGGGAAAAUGUAUAAAGGCUUAGCUGAUGCAAGGAACAUAUUAUUAAAGCUUAAAUUUCUUAGUUGUUUUCUCAUGGGUUUCCCAAGCAUUAUUCUUACUUUUAUGUACUUUUGCUGUCUAAUGUCUGCAGUUUAAAAGUAGCUGCUUCUGUUCAUUUCCUCCAGUGGAGGUACAGAAACAGAAAAUGAAAUUAUAAAUCUCUGGGAAAUGUAUAAAUUGUAAUAUUGGUGUAAUGAAAGAACGUAUGGCUUGAGGGAAUAAGGUUUGAAAGGAGUUGUGAACCCUCUCUGGAUCCUCUGCCUAUAUUUUGCACCAAAACCAGGGCUUCUCUACCAACAGCCGGUUCCCUCUGUCUUUUCAAAGGUCUUGGAUGAAGCCACUACCCACAACCAGCUGGAUCCUUCACAGCAUUUAUUGGAUGGAACUCAUGCCUUUGGAUCUUCACCAUCUGACUUCCAAGGAAGCUACUUCUGGAUUGUUCUUCUCUUCUCCCCAAACAUGAACCAACACUUACUAUGUGGGUGUGGGUGUGGGUUCACCUAAGCUGUUUGAAGAGGCUGCUGGCAAGCCAACCAGCACUCCCUUAAGUGAUAAGGAUGUCAAUUCCCAACAUGAUAUCAUGGAGAAGACCGUUGACACUCCCCCUCUUUCACAUGGCAGCAGUUUUCAGGCCCACACCUCCAGUCCUAUAAUGGGGAUUUUUCCUUGUGUUCCCAAGGAUGCUUUGGAUUGUUGAGCCAGCAUAGUAGUGUUCUUCAUCCUACCUGGGACCAUGACCAGGAACUGUGCAGUUCUUUGAGGUCUUGCCUAAUUAGCUGUUUGCACUUUGUUCUUUAGGCAUGCUUUGCUUCCAUGACCAAUUUUCUCACAUAUAAUGAGAACUGCCAUGCUUAAAGUCCCUUUGUCUCCCUUAGUGUUAGGGUUAGAGUCUUAUGAAAUUCUAGAAAGUCUACCUCUAAGCUUGACCUCAAAGUGUCACAGAAUUGCCAUCUUCACAGCACCAUAAUCUCCAUCUUAAAACACUCAUAAUUGCAACACAAAGUUAAUCUAGCCAUCCAUCAUAACCUUGUUAAGUACUGGCAACUGUCAAACAUGCAACUAAUCUACCCAUCCUAUUUUUUUUUGUCCAGCCCUGUGUUUUUGGCAUCUAUUCAAAAAGAAAGUCCUGUGGAAUGUCUUUCUCCACCCCCGUCCCAUAUAAUUACACUGGCACAGAUAUGGCUUCAGCCCCCACAUCGUCCUCAGAUACCUCCUUCCUUUCCAACAUUUUUCCAAACAGUACACAUUCUGUCAGACUAUUUACUGAAUCUGCACUACUAUUAAUCGUUUCAUAGCUCCCAUCACCAAUCUCCUUCCACUUAUGACUGUAUGACUAUAACUUGUUGCUGGCAAUCCUUAUGAUUUAUAUUGAUAUAUUGAUCAUCAAUUGUGUUGUAAAUGUUGUACCUUGAUGAACGUAUCUUUUCUUUUAUGUACACUGAGAGCAUAUGCACCAAGACAAAUUCCUUGUGUGUCCAAUCACACUUGGCCAAUAAAAUUCUAUUCUAUUCUAUUCUUCUUCCUUUUUCAGUUUCUGCACAAACUACUUGAAAGCUCUCUCUUGGCUUUCAAAUUUCCUUUCUCAUUUCCUUCACUUCUGCUCAGACUCCUCCAGAAAAUCACUCCUGGCUCAUACUAUCUUACUGUUGCCUCUCUUUCCUUUGAGGUUCUGGUUCUUAUAUACAGGGGAGUGGGCUCCAAAGCCCCAGAAAGCCAACACAACCCCACCUGGCCUCUAGAGGAUACACCUACAAGUACCCACAUGCUAGUACUCACUACUUACUAUACCAUUCUUCCCUAAAACUUCUACAACUCUUGUUCCUCUACUACUUCUCUUUGUGAGUUCUAGUUCUGAAAACAGUAAAU